UGCCAGCCGCCGCGGUAACACGGGGGGCGCAAGCGUUAUUCGGAAUUAUUGGGCGUAAAGGGCGCGCAGGCGGUCUUGUCCGUCAGGUGUGAAAGCUCGGGGCUCAACCCCGGAAGUGCACUGGAAACUGGCGAACUUGAGUACGGGAGAGGAAAGUGGAAUUCCGAGUGUAGGGGUGAAAUCCGUAGAUAUUCGGUGGAACACCAGUGGCGAAGGCGACUGACUGGACUGGUACUGACGCUGAGGUGCGAAAGUGUGGGGAGCAAACAGGAUUAGAUA
rnacentral:rRNA from 1 species